rnacentral:misc_RNA from 1 species
ACUGCUGGUGCUUUAGGAGGCAUUGCAGCUUCCUUUGUCCGUGUUCCAACUGAGGUCAUUAAGCAGCGAAUGCAAACUAGGCAAUUUGCUUCGGCUCCUGAUGCUGUUCGCUUAAUAGUCUCAAAAGAAGGUUUUAAAGGUCUUUAUGCGGGAUAUGGGUCAUUUCUACUUCGAGAUUUACCAUUUGAUGCCAUCCAGUUCUGUAUCUAUGAGCAGCUGCGGAUAGGUUAUAAGCUGGCUGCAAAAAGGGAAUUGAAUGAUCCAGAGAAUGCAGUUAUCGGUGCUUUUGCUGGUGCUCUAACUGGAGCUAUAACUACUCCUCUUGAUGUCAUUAAGACGAGAUUAAUGACUCAGGGUUCCGCCAAUCAAUACAAGGGCAUUGUUGAUUGUGUGAAGACUAUUGUUGCAGAAGAAGGGCCUCCAGCACUUCUAAAGGGCAUCGGGCCAAGAGUGCUUUGGAUAGGCAUUGGAGGAUCAAUAUUCUUUGGUGUUCUUGA